GGCCUCCCAAUUCUUACCACAGCCUGUGUUCUUUACACUAACUAAGAAGAGGUACAGUAAAUGCAUCCCAUAUACACCUCAACCCAGGCCCUUUGCCUGGUCUGUAUUGUGAAUUGGGGCACAAAA